GGUGAUUCUAAACUUGACCUUCAGUGACUGUAAGGGAAAUGACAAGCUACACUAUGAGGUUUCAAGCCCAUACUUCAAGGUGAACAACGAUGGCACCUUAGUCGCCCUGAGAAACAUAAAUGUGG